rnacentral:lncRNA from 7 species
CUGAUUCUGAUAGCCUCUGAUCUGUGGCUCAGCCUACGUCAGAUUGCUCUGAGUUCUGCCACCAGCUGUCUGCCAUCAGCAUUUCUUGGGAGAACUUUUCAGCGACAUCUGAGCCAAAUUUCUGUGGGAGUGGAGAAGAAAGAGGAAAGCUGCUCUACCUAAGAGUGAGGAAUGGGAGGCAGAACCAUAGGGGAAGAUUCUUCUGGGCCUUGAUGGAGUUCCAGAGAAGAAAGAAACGUCUUUCCUGGUGAAGGAAAACAUUGGCAGCAUGAAUUAUUGCCAAUACCAACUGUUGAGAAAAAGACAAACAGUGAGGCAGAUUUCAACAAACUAGAGAUUAAAAGCGUGCCUCUGGAUUGUGUUAAUGGCCUCCUGCUGCUUCAGCUUGCUGUGUAGGGAAGGGCUGGAGCUGUGUGGGAAGGGAUGGACUAGUUGUUACCUUUAAUGGCUUUCUUUAUCUAUCACAAGGAUUGAAAGUGUUGUUUUGAAAAUUGGAAGCCGAUGGUCUUACUCAGUCCUCUGUCUUCAGGACCUGCAGUAAAAGAUUUAAAGAUAUUUAACCACUGGAUGAAAUGUGCCUGGGCACCCCGACAGAGACCAGAAAUGCACAAUAAAGAACAAUGCUUCUGUCGUGAAGGAAAGAAGAAAAAAGCAACACAAAACCCGCAGAUAUUUAAGAGCACUGCCCCUCUUCCAGUGUAUAUGAAAGUGAUCCAAGGUUCUUAGUGGUUGUGUGAUACACACACUCAGAAUGGCUGUAGAAAGGACAUCCACAGCAAUGUAGCUAACGCGCUCCUCGCUCCUAAAAGUCUUUCAGCAUUCUGCAGAGCCCAGGGGCCCCAAAACCUUACUAAACAGUCUCCUCUAUAUCAAAUUAAUUAGGAAAUUUGUUUUAGAAGUAUGUUCCCAGUUUUGCCUUCAUGUUAGCGUUUCCAAACUUUCCCCAGAACCAGCUCUAGUGUUUUAAAGCAAGUGCCAUGUGGGAGGAGAGAAAUAGUGCUGAGCAAGAGCAGGAGCAGCACAGGAUGGCUAUGUGCCAGGUUCUGCCUCGUCAUCCUGAAAUCCAGUUCUGUGGGAGCUGUGAGUCACUUCCAUGGAUAUAAAAGUAGAAAGUUUAUAC